CCUACGGGAGGCAGCAGUGAGGAAUAUUGGACAAUGGGCGCAAGCCUGAUCCAGCCAUGCCGCGUGCAGGAAGAAGCAUCUAUGGUGUGUAAACUGCUUUUGUACAGGAAGAAACACUCCCUCGUGAGGGAGCUUGACGGUACUGUAAGAAUAAGGACCGGCUAACUCCGUGCCAGCAGCCGCGGUAAUACGGAGGGUCCGAGCGUUAUCCGGAAUCAUUGGGUUUAAAGGGUCCGUAGGCGGUUUAAUAAGUCAGUGGUGAAAUCUGGUCGCUCAACGAUCAAACGGCCAUUGAUACUGUUAGACUUGAAUUAUAAGGAAGUAACUAGAAUAUGUAGUGUAGCGGUGAAAUGCUUAGAUAUUACAUGGAAUACCAAUUGCGAAGGCAGGUUACUACUUAUGGAUUGACGCUGAUGGACGAAAGCGUGGGGAGCGAACAGGAUUAGAUACCCUGGUAGUCCACGCCGUAAACGAUGGAUACUAGCUGUUCGGAGCAAUCUGAGUGGCUAAGCGAAAGUGAUAAGUAUCCCACCUGGGGAGUACGUUCGCAAGAAUGAAACUCAAAGAGUAAGUCGACGNGAGAGAGACGACGACGACGACGAGGAGGGAGGAGG
rnacentral:rRNA from 1 species